rnacentral:snRNA from 1 species
UGACUCUGGUUUCUCUUCAUUACGCACAAGCCUUUCGCCUUUUACUAAAGACUUCCGUGGAGGGAACACUUACGAGUUCAACGUAUUUUUGGAGCGGCUUGCUUCUUGCAGAGCCC